UACAGAGGUCUCGAGCGUUAGGCGGAAUCACUGGGCUUAAAGCGUGUGUAGGCGGAUCGGUAAGUACCUUGUGAAAUCUCCGGGCUUAACUCGGAACGGUCAAGUGAUACUGUCGGACUAGAGGUACAGAAGGGGCACUGGAAUUCUCGGUGUAGCGGUGAAAUGCGUAGAUAGUCGAGAGGGAACACCUGCGGCGAAGGCGGGUUGCUGGGCUGAUACUGACGGCUGAGGCGCGGAAAGCCCAGGGGAGCGAACGGG
rnacentral:rRNA from 1 species